GGCGCGAGCAGGUGCGAAAGCAGGUCAUAGUGAUCCGGUGGUUCUGAAUGGAAGGGCCAUCGCUCAACGGAUAAAAGGUACUCCGGGGAUAACAGGCUGAUACCGCCCAAGAGUUCAUAUCGACGGCGGUGUUUGGCACCUCGAUGUCGGCUCAUCACAUCCUGGGGCUGAAGUAGGUCCCAAGGGUAUGGCUGUUCGCCAUUUAAAGUGGUACGCGAGCUGGGUUUAGAACGUCGUGAGACAGUUCGGUCCCUAUCUGCCGUGGGCGCUGGAGAACUGAGGGGGGCUGCUCCUAGUACGAGAGGACCGGAGUGGACGCAUCACUGGUGUUCGGGUUGUCAUGCCAAUGGCACUGCCCGGUAGCUAAAUGCGGAAGAGAUAAGUGCUGAAAGCAUCUAAGCACGAAACUUGCCCCG
rnacentral:rRNA from 1 species